UUGAGAGUAAUCUCUUUAAGAAUCGGGCCCAUUUAAGAGUAAUCUCUCAAAAAAUGGAGCUAUUUUGAGAGUAAUAUCUCCAAAAAUUGGGUAACAUUGAAAGUAAUAUCUCCAAGAAUCUCCAAGAAUAGGAUCAUUUUGAGAGUAAUCGAAUACGAUCAUAUUGAAAGUAAUAUUUCCAAGAAUUGGGCAGAGAUGAGCAUCCAUCCCCUCACACCUUAAGAGCACUUCCUUCAAGCGCUUCCUUCAUGAAGGGAUCUCACAUGACCUACAAAAAGAAAAAGAAAAAAAGACAACAAAACUAAGAAAAGCACAAGAAAAAAAAAUUUUAUUUCCACAUUAAUACUUUCAACUCUGCAAAACUAAAUUCAUGUGGCUUACAAAGCCUGCGAAUUGAUGCUCAACAAAUACGAAUACAUGGAAUUUAUAUAGACCUCCUAGGAAGCUGAUUGGGAAGCGAGAAUCCGAAGUGGGAUCAUGUUCUGAAAUAGUCUCCUAAAAGGAUUUGGUUUGAAUGACGGCAGCAGUCCGAUGGGAAAAUAACAAAUUAAGAUUGCUUUUGUGUUGUAAGUCAAUAAGGAUUUGGUUAGGACACCUGGUGGAUUUCUCGCAAAGUAAAUAUUGACGCAUGGCCAGUGACAUGAUAAAGAAGACGGCAAUUUGACUUUUAACAUAUGUUAAUGAUAAGGAAAGAAAUAACAAUAAAAUUUCAAGUAGCAAAUGUUGGUCUUACGUGGGUUUCAGAAGUUGAAGUUGGCAACUGCUUAUACCUUCAAUUUGUUUCUUACAAUUUGAUCUUCCUCAAAUGAAUUUUUUAAAAAUAUGGCCUUGUAGAUACUUCUCUCAUACCCGACAAGUUUUAAAGUAUGAGGUAUUUAUAGGCAUAUAAAUUUAUUAAAAUUAAAUUCAUAAAAUAAUUUGGAUUAUAUUUUAAAUUCAAAAUAUAUUGGUUCAAAUAAAUAUUAUGGGCUAAUAUAAUUGAAUUAAUUAUCUACGUCCUAUAUAAAUGGAUUACAUAAAUAAUUCUUAGGAAUUUUUAUAUAUGUAUACCAUAUAGCAAACCUUAUUACCAACCAUGUUUAAGGUUUGUGUUUAUUACAUUUAAGUAUACCACCUUUCAAUUUAUGUACCAAAAUCCUAUUUAAGGUUUAAUUAUCAACUUAUUAAUUAUAGGCUUGAUUUGUGGAACUUAAAAUCUUUUCAGAUGUUUAUGUACCAUAAUUCAAAUUAAGGGUAUAAUUGCUUCAUUUAUUCUAGCCAUGAUUUUAGGAGUAUAUAUUACUUUUUCCUUUUUUUCCUCUUCUCUUUCCUAGUGUUCUGUUUGAUUGCAUAUCUUUCACCAAAGUCAUAGCUUAUUUGUUACCUAUUUAAUUUUUUUUCUCUUCAUUUCCAUCUCUUCAUUUGGCUCCAUUUGGUCUCUGAACCUUGAAGACUAUCCUAGGAUAUUGGAUAUUCCUGUCGUUUCACCUUAUUUUAAGCAAGGAAAUAAACCUUAAGUUUCUUAUAGAGAGUAUUAAAUCAUUUGCAUGACAACUCACUGAACCGCUUAUGAGCAUUAACAGUCUCAAUCAGUUACUAUCAUCUUUUACAUUGUCGUUAUUAUAAGAACAGUAAUGUUUCAGUAUAUUUUCUCAUGCCCUCUCACUACCCACCUCCUAGAAAACAAAGGGAAAAAUAAAUUAUCACAACAACAGCCAAUGCAUAUAAAUCGUUCUUGCCCUUUCCAAAUUCGCGGCACUCCCAAAAUUAAAAUUUUGAAUAUUAAGAAUUGAUUAAAUUUGGUAUGCUUAAAAAUUUUUAUUGUAGUUUAAUUGUAGUAUACAUAUAACAAUACAACUUUAUACAAUACUUAAACUGAUUUUGUAGUUUAUUUGUAGAAAUUGUAUCUACAAACUGAAUACAUUGAAUUUUAAUAUUCCAUAAAUAUAACAAUACAACUUUAUACAAUACUAAAUUGAUUUUGUAUUUUAUUUGUAAAAAUUGUAUCUACAACUGAAUACAUUGAAUUUUAAUAUUUCAAUUCUUAUUUCAAUUGUAGCAUAAUUGGCAUUUUCGACAUAAUUGUAGAAGACUUGUAGAAGUUUUAGUCUUCCCAAUCUACAAUUUAUCUACAAAUUAUCUACAUUUGAUCUACAUUUGAUCUACAAUACUAUAAUUUAACUACAAUUUAACUACAAAAUCUGGAAAAAUAUGUUUUCUUCUUCUUCGACGAGUUUCAAUAAGAAAUUCCGUCAAAACCAAGUCUAAUCUUCACAAAAACCCCUCAAAAUUGAGAUAUAAACUCCUAAACAUAUCUCGAAUUAUUUACAACAACACCCAAUCUAAACAAAUAAUGAUUUUUGAACAUCCAAAUUUAAAUUCAAAGCUUUCAAGCUUUUUAACGGCUAUCAACGGUGGAAAAUAUAUGGAGAAGGAGAAAAUUACGCUGCAAUAGAUAUUCAAGUUUCACCUUUUACAAGAACAGCUCGAAUAUUGAUUAAGCAGCAAACGCAAUAGCUUUUUAAAUUUCUCUGUACUAAAACAAACCCACAGUCACAAAGCAAAAUUUUUGUUAUUUUAUUUUUCUUCCUUUGUGAAGAAAUAAUUAGAUAAAUAAGCCCAUCAACAUCUCUCCUCAGUCCUCUCCCAUGCGUUGAAAUUGAUCAAGCAUAUUUUAAAAUCCAAGGGAUUUUUAAUUGUAGCAUAAUUCGUAUUUUCAACAUAAUUGUAGAAGACUUGUAGAAAUUUUAGUCUUCCCAAUCUACAAUUUAUCUACAACUUAUGUUUUAAAUUUAAAAUUAAUGGUGAUAGAAUCACCAUUAAAUCUGAUUCCUACAACUGUGGAGCCUUUUUAGGGUAGAAUCUAUUUAUUCUUGGUUUGGUACAUAUUUUGUAGCAAAACUAUGGACUAGGCGGGUAAAUACAAUAUUAUGAACAUUUUUGGUAAUAAGGUUUGCUAUAUGGUAUAGAUAGGUAAAAAUCUCUAAUUCUUAAUUCAUUGGGCUAGCUCAUUUAAUUAGGCUAAAGUGACUAGGCCACUUUAUUAAGCCCAAGAUGACAUCUUCCUAGAGGCCCAGUUUGGUGUCACGUAUCAAAUGACGUGGCGCAUCACGUCAAGUGGAAGAGUCAGGAUCAUGCCACGUGUCAAAAUGACAAGGCAUACCCAGUCACACUGAAAUGCCAAUGAAAUCACGCUACGUGUGCAAGUGAUAUGUUCUGGCCAAUCAAAUGCGGUCAUGUCACACUUCAAUUUGAUUGGUCUGAAAGAGUUUGUUCUUAUCGUAACUCUUCAUUCUCACAACUAUAAACAUGGGUCUUCAUAACUUAAAAAAGACACCAGAAGUUAUAAUAAGAAACAAGAAAGAGUUCGUGGAUCAAACGCUGCAUAUUCCUCCACAAGUUUCAAGCUUCAAGUUCAAGCUCAGGAACGAAGAACAAAACAAGGUCAAGUUCAAGCAAUCAAGCUCAAGAACAAGAUCAUCGUUCGAGGAAACAAAUACAUAUUCAAGAUCAAGCUCAAAUGCCCUUGAAUUUAUUACCAUUGGAAAGAAGAAUCAGAGGAUUCAUAAAGAUUGCAACACUCAAAUAUUCGAAAUAAAAUACUACAAUUGUUGCAAUAUUUUCAAUUUUGAUUUUAUUUUCUCGACGUAAAUUUAUUGUCUAUACUUACCAUUAGAACAACCCCUUUUUAUUUUCAAUAAAGUUACUUAACAAAAAUUAUUGAUAUCAUAAUACCUCUUUAUUUUUUUUAACUUUUUAUACCUGUUAAAAGUAUAUAUAUUAAUUUACCCUAUUCAAGCUUUUGUUAGAAACAACAAAAAUCCUCGUGAAGAUCAAUUAACACAAAAAUACAAGGUAAAGUUGUAUAUAAUAGACUCUUGUUAUUCGAUUAUUCUCCGGAUCCUACACAUAGCGAAAGCUUAUUAUACCGUGAUGCCAUUUUAUUAUGGACGAAGGUGCAAUUUCACGUAAAAACACAACAGCCAUAUGACAAACAACAAUAGAAAGCAAGAGUUAAAAAGCUGAAGGGUUACUUGCAAAAAGAGCAGAAACAAAUAUCAGUAAAUAUAGCUGUACUUAAACUCACAUACCCUUUUUAAACCACACCGACACCCGCAACGCCUUUGCAUAAAUUCAAAUGUUUUUAUUUUGCCCUGGCUUGCAACGGCAUAUGUUUAAUCCCGCACCGCAUCGUACGUGUCUAAAUGUGCACCGCCCUGCACCAUGGCCAUCCUAGAUGUCAAGUUGUCAACAAGCUUAAACGCUCACAGUCCUUUCCUCUAUGCUAUAAUUUAGCUAAAACAAAGAAAAAUCGUAUUCGUAUAUAAACAUUACAAUUCAACAAGUCUAAUUAUUGUCCAUCACCAAGUUUAUGUUAUAUAUAUGGUCACUUAUCAUAAAGGAACAAACUGGGAAGAUGCAACCUAGUAAACGUGAAAGUAACAUAUGUGUUUAGCUCAAAAACUAUAUUCGUAUUUUGUAAGCCUAAAAUAAUCAAAAAUAUAUGAGGAUAAAUCGUAAUCAAAUAUAAUAAGCACAAGAGAUGAUUAUCACUUCGAGAGUUUUCGUUGAUCUAUAAAUAGUUGAUAAAAAUGGACUUAGUUUAAUAAGGAAGUGAUGGUUAUGAACUUGAGGGAGAGAAUAGAGAUUGAAAUAGAGAUUGUAUUAUUCGAGAAUAACACUCAUGCCCUUUUACAAAGAGAAGGUUAAAAGGAAACCUUCCUCGAACAAAUAAAAAAAGUACAAAGGUUGGCGGCUUCCACUCAGUAAAGGGAGUCAGGUGCUAAACGACGUCAUUCUUGGUUUAGGCCGCACCCUUGCUUGGGUCGCGCUUAUCAUGAGGGACGUGGCCACCUGACAUGGGGAUGUGAUGAGCCAAAUUUAGCCUAUGCAGUUAGUCCUUCCGUUUGUUGGAGAUGUAUUCGAUGAUCGUCUUCAAUGGACGGACAUGCAUGAUUCAUUUUUUACGAAAAUUUGGCUAUGCCCGUAGGCGCUCCCUUUUCAGUACAUGGGCAUGGAUAACAUUGAUUGGGCCGUUGACGUGCGACCCACCUUUUUUAAGGUGACGUCAACAGUCACAUGCAUCAACAUUAUACAUGUUCCCGAGACUUGUUCAGAACGCGGCGUGAUGUUUUGGUUUCCGGCGCCGGUUUCAGAACUGAGUCUCUUCGAUUCCCGUGUGUCUUUCUCCUAUAAAUAGGAGAGUGGUUCAAAGAGUUUCAUCUUUCGAUCUUUUAGAAAGUUUUCCUUUGCUUCUUUCUUCAACCUUCUUUCCUGUAAUAGUUAUAUCGUUUUCAUAGGUAUACCUUUCCCGAGAAUUAUCUUACACACUACCAACACUUCAUUCUUCACUUCGUAUUAUGGCAAAGCGCCAAGAAAGCAAAAAUGCUAAGGUCAGUUCCCCUUCUAGGGUUCUACCCUCUUCUGAUGGUGAAGGGGAAGGAGUGGGAAAAACCCUAGUUCCUUUAACGGUAGACAACAUUUUACCGAAGGACUUUAGUGCGAGAAAAGACUUCAAUACGGCAAGCCCCUCUCAUGCUUGGGAGGAGAGUGACUUACUUCAGUCUCACCUGGACGUCAUCACGACCAGGUACAACGUUCCUGAUUAUGUUGAGAUAGUUCCGAUUGGAACGGACCAUGCCAAUGUACAUAAACCCGACUUUUGUACAUUUUACGAAUAUGCUCUCAAGACUGGGUAUAGCUUUCUACUCAACCCUUUGGCGGAAGAGCUCUGUCGCUUUUACCAAGUAUGUCCAGAUCAGCCCACACCUUACGCUGAAAGUGUGUCGGAUCGUUACUACGCUAGCAGGUGAGGCCGGGGCCAUUGUUUUUUUCAUUACUUGCUACAGAUGUUCAGCCCUAACUAUAUGAGGGGUACCAUGCUCCAACUGAGGAGCCGUGGCAAGAAGAGCUUUGACGUGAGGGCUGACGACAAAGCUAACCGCGAGUUCUGGCAUAUGUUCUUUUACGUUAGGAUGAGCCAUUUAGUGUCCGAUCCUGAAGGAUUCCCAGAGGCAUGGAAUGUAGGAUGUAAGUAUCCCUAUAUGUAACCUUGCGACGUUCUGUUUUGACUGACUAAAUUCUGAACUUACUUUCUGCCUUCUUAUCUUUUUGUAGUGGCGACUUGCUCACCCCGCCCCGUUGGCGACAUUAGGUCGUGGAUGGCGGGGUCGAUACCAUAUGCGGAGAAAUGCCGCACUUGGGCUGAAUUCCGUAGGUUGUACGGUAAUAUAUAUAUAAACUAUAUUCGUAUUUUGUAAGCCUAAAGCUAGGAAACCUUCCUACCUGAUGUGCUUAUCGUUCGCCAAGUCGGGGUGCUUCUUAAAGGACGAAGAAGAAGAAGACCGAAGCCAGCCCGGCCAGGGCGGAGUCUAACUCCGAAGAUAUAUUUGUGGGCGGCUCAACCAGAGGUAGCCCCAUUUUGAUUCCCCGCCAAGGGACUACAGCGGCCGUUGAGGGUGUGAGGAGGCCCAAUGAGCCUCACCAAGUGCCAAGGUCGACUUUUAUGGCCGAGGCCAUUCGUGCUGGGCGAAUGGUCCCCCAGAGGGCAGCCGCCGCCCGUUGUCUCAUGCAUCAGGAGGUUAAUCAUCCUCCGUUGUUAAUGAGGUUGUCGUGGAGACUGAGAGGACGGGCUCUGAAGCCACUCUCGAGGAGGCACCGGGCAGCUCGGCCCGUGUGGAAAUUAAGGAAGGCCAGUGUACUCACCGCAUUGUGAUCCGUGGGGGAUACAACUUAUUAGAGGACAUCAAGCAGGUUGUAGCGGACAUGAAUCUGUUGUGCGCGGGUGCGGAGCAUGAGUCGCCGAUAGAUGUCAGCAACGGGGACUUGUCGAGGCGGGUAGCCGGUUCGACUUUACAAGUAGAUUUCAGCCCUAUCUUUGUUUUGUCGUUCAAAAGCAGCUAUGGUUUGUACUGACGCAUUUCUUUUCUUAUUUUUCAGACCCUCGUUUUGGAGGUAGAGUGGAGGUGACACGACCAGAAGAAAACGGCCACCUUCUCCAAAAUGUCAAAGAAGUACAAGGAGGUCUGUGCCAAGCAUCGGGCAUUGGCAUAUAUGUUUGAGCAGGAUCCCCAAUUCCGGACAAUCCGCGAGGGCCUUAAGGAAUCAUAGGCUCUUUUGAAGAAGAAGGCGGCGGAGCUAAAGGAGUUGGAUGAGCAUUUGAUGGUUGCCUUGGAUCGAAAAAUGAACUGGAAACUCUCCUUCGCUCAAGGGAGGAGUACUUGGAGAUCAGUCGUGGGGUGGCGGCCGAGGCUUCGAAAUUUGCGGGCUCGGGUUGCUAACCUUGCGGCCGAGCUGGAUUCCAGGACGACCGAAGUUGAGGCCCUUAGGCGAUCGCCCCCACAAGAUGCCACGCACCGUGAGGCAUACGAGAUGUGGGUGUACCACGACGCCAAAUUGGUCAUCUUUGAGGAGCUUUUGGUGGCGGGCCGAGCUUUCGAGGUGGAAAUAGAGAGGCACCGACGCUUGACUCGCCCGUGAAGCGGACGGUUAUAACUCUGACUCGCCUGGUAGAGAGGGCUAUAAUUCCGAGGAUGUCAAUCGCCUAGACUCCAGCUCGUGGAUUUCCAGGACUUAUAAGCCUGGGGACGGCAGCGGACCUGAUGAGAGAGGCCCUUAGGGCUUGUAUAUGAAUAUUUUUGUAGAAGGAAAUUCUGUAGGACCCGUUGUAUGUAUACUUUUUUGAUAAAUGAAAUAUACUCUCUCUUCCCUCCCUUUGCCGCUAUUUUCCUUUCGUUCUUUAGAGCUUUUGUUGCGCUCUUUGUUGACUGUCAGUGUUGGCGGCCUUGGUCGAAUCUUAGAUCAAUGGUUUUAGCCGUAAUAGAAUCGACAGCCUUAGCAAAUGUAGGCUACUUCGACUAUUGUUGAGUCAUUUAUCCAUCGUGGUCGAAUCUUAGGUCGACCGUUGGUAAAGAUGGCCUUAGCCAUAAUGUAAUCGGUGGCCUUGGCUAUGAUAGAACUGAUGGCCUUGGCCAUGUAGGCGACUUCAACCGUUGUCGAGUCGUUUAUUCACCGUGGUCGAAUCUUAGGACGACCGUUGGUGAAGAUGGCCUUAGACAUAAUGUGAUCGAUGGCCUUGGCCAUGAUAGAACUGAUGGCCUUGGCCAUGUAGGCGAAUUCGACUGUUGUUGAGUCGUGUAUUUACCGUAGUCGAAUUUAGGUCGACCAUUGGUGGUGAUGGCCUUACCCGUGAUAUAAUUGACAGCCUUAGCCAUGUCGGGCGACUUCGACUGUUGUCGAGUCGUUUAUUCACAGUGGUCGAAUCUUAGGUCGACCGUUGGUGAAGAUAGCCUUAGCCAUGAUAUAAUUGAUGGCCUUAGCCAUGUCAGCGACUUCGACUGUUGUCGAGUUGUUUAUUCACCGUGAUUGAGUCUUAGGUCGACCGUUGGUGAAGAUGGCCUUAGCCAUCAUGUAAUCUAUGGCCUUGGCCAUGAUUGAGCUGAUGGCUUUGGCCAUGUAGGCGACUUCGACUGUCGUCGAGUCGUUUAUUCACCGUGGUCGAAUCUUAGGUUUACCGUUGAUGGUGAGGGCCUUAGUCAUGAUAUCAUUGAUGGACUUAGCCAUGUUGGCAACUUCGACUAUCAUCGAGUCAUUUAUUCACCAUGGUCGAAUCUUAGGUCGACCGCUGGUGAAGAUGGCCUUAGCCAUAAUGUAAUUGAUGGCCUUGGCCAUGAUUGAACUGAUGGCCGUAACCUUUCAUUCAUUGGAGGUGGCCGUAGCCUUUCAUUCAUUGGAGAUGGUCGUAGCCUUUCAUACAUUGGAGAUGGUCGUAGUCUUUCAUUCGUUGGAUAUGACAGUAGCCUUUCAUACAUUGGAGAUGGUCGUAGCCUUUCAUACAUUGAAGAUGACUGUAGCCUUUCAUACAUUGGAGAUGGCCGUAGUCUUUCAUACAUUGGACAUGGUCGUAGCAUUUCAUACAUUGGAGAUGAAGCUAGUCCAGUCCAUUUAUCAUGUCGGCCUGGAGGUUGUAAAGAGGGGCUGACAUGAUAAACUUGUUCCUCAAAUAUCCCCAGGUAUCCCCUCCGUCGCCUCCUUAAAAACCUCCUUGAAAAACCCCAAUUAGGACAAAACUCGAGUAAGGGAAAUAGAGUACGACUCGGGAGAUGCCUUUAGAAGUGGAAAUACUUGAGGUGAGCAACGUUCCAGUUGCUUUGGAGUGUUUUUCCUUCCAUCGUUUCUAACUGGAAUGCGCCUUUGCUGGCUAGUGCUAUGAUUUUGUAGGGUCCUUCCCAGUUGGUGCCCAGUUUUCUUUCACUUGGGUCUUUGGAUGCCAAUAUCUUGGCUUUGAGGACGUAAUCUUCCACCUUGAGUGGUCUUAUUUUGGCCCUCUUGUUGUAGUAUCUUUCGACUUGUUGCUUUUGAGCCACCAUUCUAAUGUGGGAUGUUUCACUCCUUUCCUCAGCUUUGUCGAGGUCUUAGAAUAUGUUGGCAUCAUUUUCUGUUUCACUAGUGUGUGAAUAUCUCAGGCUUGGUUCGCCGACCUCGAUGGGUAUGACCGCGUCAGUUCUGCAGACCAGCGAGUACGGUGUUUCCCCUGUGCUGGAUUUGGGUGUGGUCCAGUAUGCCCAAAAUACCUCGGGUAGCAGCUCGGGCAUAGCCCUUUGGCGUCCUCGAGUUUCUUCUUCAGUAUGUUUAAUAUUGUUUUGUUGGAGGAUUCCGCUUGACCAUUGGCGUAGAGUGAUAGGCAUGGAAAGUAUACUCUUGAUGUGCCAUUUCUCGAAGAACUCGAUCGUUUUUUGACAAACGAACUGUCGUCCGUUGUCACAACUAAUUUCGUUGGGGAUGCCGAAGCGGCAUAUGAUAUUUUUCCAGAUGAAGGCGAUUACCUUCUGUUUGCGUAUUUGUGCGUACGCACCUGCUUCUAUCCACAUAGAAAAAUAGUCAGUAAGUACUAAUAGAAAACGUACAUUUUCGCGUCCUGCAGGUAGGGGGCCGACUAUGACCAUUCCCCAUUAAAUGAAAGGCCAUGUGGAGGUGACCGAAUGGAGGGGCUCUCCUAGUUGGUGUAUCAUAGGGGCGUAUCUUUGGCAUUGCUCGCAUUGGCGAACAUAUUCUGCCGCCUCCUUCUUCAAGGUGGGCCAGUAAUAGCCGGGCCAUAUGAUAAAUCGUACGAGGGCGCAGUUUCCUGUAUGAGCACCGCAGUGAUCCUCGUGUACUUCUUCAAGUACCGGCCUUGUUUGGUGCGGCCCCAAGCACUUGGCCAAUGUUCCACCAAACAUUCUCUUGUAGAGGUCUUUGUUUAUUAAGCCGUACCGAGCGGCUUACGUGCGGAGUUUCUUUUCUCCUUUCUUGUCGGGUGGCAGCGUCCCGUCCUAUAGAUAAGAUACAAUCUGGUUGCGCCAGUCCCAAUUCAAAUUUAAAGAGAAUACCUUAAUGUGAUCAAUAGAGGAGUGGAGGAGAGUGACUACGCUUUCUUUGUUGAAGUUUUUAGUAGCCGUAGCAAGUUUUGCUAAACCGUCUACUUCGAUAUUCCGUGACCUUGGGAUCUAUUCUAGGUGACAUUCGUCCAACGUGGUUAUUAACAUGCAGAUCUCUGGCUGGUUUUUUUGCAGUCUCUGUUCUUUUGUCUGGUAAGUCCCUGUGACUUGGUUUACCACGAGUUGGGAAUCGUAGUGGAUGAUGAGUCGGCACGCGCCAUAUUUUAUGGCCAGCUUCAUGCGUACAAUAACAGCCUCGUACUUGGCCUUGUUGUUAGUCAUUUCGGGGGCAUUGUAUGGACUGGCGAACCAUUUCGCCCGUGGGGACCUCGAGGACGAGUCCCAGUCCCGAUCUCAAUGCAUUGGCGGCGCCAUCAGUCAGUGUAGAGGACCCAUAGGUCGUUAUUGGCAGAGGCAUAAAGUGCCUCGAGUUCUACCUUUGGCAUGAUUUCUGCACUAAAAUCGACUAUAAAAUCGGCCAGGACUUGCGACUUAAUGGCGGUUCUAGAAAGAUAUGAGAUGUCGUGCUCACUGAGCUCAAUGGCCCAUCUUGCGAGCCAGCCCGAUAAUUUGAGCUUGUGUAGAACGCUUAUUAAUGGAAAGAUUUUUAUCGCUUUUAUGGGGUGGCAUUGUAAAUAGGGUCGUAGCUUUCGUGAAGCUAUGACCAGUGCCAAUGCUAACCUUUCGAGGUGUGGGUACCGAGUUUCAGCGUCCACUAAGGUUUUGCUAAUGUAAUAGACAGGGGAUUGUAUACCUUUGUUCUCGCGAAUGACGACGACGCUAACAGCGACCUCUAAUACGGCCAGAUAAACUAGUAAGGGUUCGCCCAGACUUGCCUUGACCAGCAAGGGCGGCGAAUACAAGUAUGCUUUCAACUUCCUCAAGGCUUCGACGCAUUCCUCAUUCCAUUGUAGUCCUUGAUCUUUUUUUAGUAUGUUGAAAAACUUAUGGCACCUAUCGGAUGACCGUGAGAUGAAGCGGGACAGGGCGGUUAUAUGCCACGUCAGCUUUUGUACCUGUUUCUUGCUACUCAGCACCUCAGGUAUUGCGUCAAUUGCCUUGAUCUGGUCUGGAUUGACCCCGAUGCCUCGUUGCGAUAUGAGGAAUCCUAAGAUUUUUCCUGAAGCUACACCGAAGGCACAUUUCUCGGGGUUCAAUUUCAUCUCGUACCUCUUCAGUAUUUCGAAAGCCUCCUUUAGGUGGCCAAUAUGGUCCUCUUUCCUUGCCGAAUUUACUAGCAUAUCGUCGAUGUAGACUUCAAUGGUCUUACCGAGUUGCUCUUUGAAAAUUUUGGUUACCAGCUUCUGAUACGUGGCUCCUGCAUUCUUGAGCCCGAAGGGCAUUACUUUGUAGCAGUAUGUCCCCCGGUGGGUGAUGAAAGUUGUUUUUCCUUGAUCCUAUUCAGCCAUCAUAAUUUGAUUGUAACCGGAGUAUGCAUUUAGAAAACUUAGCAGCUCAAGCCCCGCGGUCGCGUCUAUUAGCUGGUCAAUAUAGGGCAGUGGGAAGGAAUCUUUCAGGCAUGCCUUAUUUAAGUCGGUGAAGUCUACACACAUUCUCCACUUCCCAUUCUUCUUUUUGACCAUGAUGACGUUGGCGACCCACUGAGGGUACUUUGAUUCUCGGAUGGAACCGUUGGCCAAAAGUUUUUCAACUUCUUCACCGACCACUUUGUUGAUCGGGGUGUUGAAUUUUCUUCUCAUUUGUUGUACAUGCCAGUGUAAUGGAUAAACAUUCAGCUUGAAUAGCGAUUUCUCGCGGGAUUCUCGGCAUAUCUGAAUAGGAAAAAGCAAACAGGUCUGUAUGGUUAGAUAAAAAUUCACGACACUUACGUGGAUUUGAAAGGCCGUGUCCGAUGUACGCCUUCCUUGUAGGGUCGUUGUUGUCUAGUUGGACCAGGUCAAGGUCUUCGACCGUAGCCUUACGGGAUUCUACGACAUCAGGGUCUUUAAUGGCGAUUUCUGUCAAGAGGACCUUAGUCCCCGAUAUAGUUGAUUGCUAUGUGUCUGUGCUUUCCCCCUUAAGUUGUUUGGUGUGGGCGCAGUCUUGCGCUAUUUUAUAGCACUCUUGAGCGGUGUGGGGCUCGCCUCGAAUGCUGAAUAUUCCUCACCGGGUGGAAAAUUUAACCAUUUGGUAGAAACUCGAAGGGACCGCUCUCAUGGCGUGUAUCUACGGUCGCCCAAUAAUGACGUUGUAUGAUGUUUUCUGGUUCAUCACGUGGAAAGUUGUUUCUAGCGUGACUGCCCCACUAGGACGGGUAGCGAUAUCUCUCCUGAGGUUUGUUCCACUGCAUUAUUGAAACUUAUUAGUGUUAUGCAACGCGGUAUUACCUUAUCCUCGAGUCCCAUUAGAACGAGGACCCUCUGGUGGAUAAUACAGUCGCCACUGCCAUCAUCGACCAUUAUUAUUUUAUCAUCUGUAUCGUUCGUGGGCGAUGGUUAGCUUCAGUUUGUGCGUAGUGGUGAACUUGACGUGGUUGAUUGCUGAAUCGUUGUUGUUCCCAAUGAUCAUGUUGAUCGUGCAGGCUGGUGAGGGCAGCUUUAGUGGCCCGUGAUGUUGCUCCCAUCCCGCGUGCAAAGUUGAUUUUUCUUUUGUCGCUGAGUAACUCCCUCAGGAACCCUUGGUUCAACAUCCUGACUACCUCUUGUCGUAGACCUAUACAGUCUUCGGUUUUGUUCCCCCGCUCCUGGUGGAACUCGCACAAGGUAUUUGAUUUUUUGGUGGUGGGGUCCGACUUCAUUGUUGCCGUUCAUUACACCUUGUUGCCCAGCUUCUCAAGUGCUUACACUAUCUCUGAAGGGGACACACAAACAUUAUGGGUAGAUAUAAAGAGGGCGUACCUCUAUCGUUUCGUAGUGGAGUGACAUGUCGCUGUAGUGCAUUCGCGUGUGGCGGGUGAAAGGAUCUGAUAUAGGGUUGGUGCCUCUCCAUGUUGGAUGUGGGCCUUGUUCCCGUCGUCCUUCGUUGCAUCAAUCUCUCCUGAUCUCUAGAUGUAUCGUUGUUAGACGUUGGGUCGGUCCGUUGAGGUCGUCCUCGUCUGUGCGCACCACAGCGCAAUAAGCGUUUUGGAUAUCUUCCCAUGUGGUGGGUGGGUACUUCAUGAGGCGGAUGAGUAAUUUUUUGGUCGCCCUCGAGCCAUUACUGCUUAACCUAUUUUGGAAAGCAACGACUGCCAUGCCCUUCGAUACGUUGGGUAGGCUCAUCCUUACCCUAUUGAACCUGGCUAGAAUGUACCUGAGUCCUUCCCCUAUGGUUUGCCGAACGGCGAAGAUGUCGUUGACCCUUGCUUCUGCUUUCUUAGCUCCUGAAUGUGCGGUGACAAACUUGUCCGCCAUUUCCUCGAACGUGGAAAUAAUUUUGGCUGGUAGGGGAAUACUAGGUCAGUGCCCCCCUGUUAGGAUUUCGCCGAACUUCUUCAGUAGUACAGACAGUACCUGUUCCUUUAAGAGGUCGUUACCUUUUACGACAGUGACGUAGUGGAUCAAGUGGUCCUCGGGAUCUGUAGUUCCGUCGUACACUCUUAGAUACAGCAACAUUUCGAAGGUUUUCGGAAUGGGGUAUGGUGGAACCUCUUCUUUGUAGGGUUGUUCAACAAACCUCACCACGUCAUGCUUUGGCAGCAUUUUGGGGCACCAGGGAUUUUAUCUACCAUUUCUUGGCAUUGUGAAGGUUUUUGGAAUGGGAUAUGGUGCAGCCUCUUCCGCGUAGGGUUGUUCAACAAAUCUCCUCACGUCACGUUUCGACAGCAUUUUGGGGACACCAGGGAUUUGUCCACCCUUUCUUGGUGUUCCUUCAUCUGGCCACAGAGCGACCUGUUUUCGUUUUCCAUUUCCUCCAUCUUCUUGAAGAUGGCUGCGAGCGCAUCGACGUCGGCCCGAGUUUCGAGGGGCGCAUUGUUUGCGCGGGUGACCUCGGGUUCGCCUCCAACUGCACCAAGAUCUGUGGUUGGCCAGCAUCUAACAUUGUGUCGAGGUGAAUUCUUAACCAGGCUGCUUAGAGUGCUUUUUAACCACUCUUCCAGUAGCUUCUUGACCUCUGGGGUGCUUCUUCAGGUGUAGAUGUGGAAGCGCCUUUUUCCUGCAAGAUCACUAGAUCUUCGAGUGGUGGAGGUAGGAUUUAUCCGCUCAAAGUGGUACUAGGGAUUGUAAUCAUGACCCCAUCUUCACCGGCUUCGUUGAGAGGACCGAUGAGAUUGGUUGCAACAUCUGCUAUUGUUUUCAUUCUUGGGUUUUUGUCAGCCAUUUUUCGUUUUUGUGUAAUAAAGAAAGGUUUUCGAUGGUUCUCUAGGUGUAAACUAUGAUUUUGAUUCUCGAAAUCCCCACAGCUGGCGCCAAAUUGUUUAGCUCAAAAAUUAUAUUUGUAUUUUGUAAGCCUAAAAACAAUCGAAAAUAUAUGGGGGUAAAUCGUAAUCAAAUAUAAUAAGCCCAAAAGAUGAUUAUCACUUCCAGAGUUUUUGUUGAUCUGUAAAUAAUUGAUAAAAAUAGACUUAGCUUAAUAAGGAAGCGAUGGUUAUGAACUUGAGAGACAGAGAAUAGAGAUUGAAAUAGAGAUUGUAUUAUUCGAGAAUAACACUUGUCACACCUCCUUUUGGCCCGAGCCCGCAGGGGCACGAGGGGUUAAGGGAGUUUUUUCCAAUUAAAGGACAAUCGAAACGUAAUGUAUUAUUAGGAUUCAGAGUCGCCACUUGAGAGAUUUAUGUUGUCCCAAGUCACCGGUUUAAUCCCGAAUCGAGGAAAAGAAUGACUCUGUAUUACAGUCCGCGAACCAAAAAUCCGGAUAAGGAAUUCUGUUAACCCGGGAGAAUGUGUUAGGCAUUCUCGAGUUCCGUGGUUCUAGCACGGUCGCUCAACUGUUGUAUUCAGCUUAAAUUAUCUGAUUUUUAACACUUAUGAAAUUAUGCGCAAUUAACUCUUUUACCGCUUCUAUUAUUAUUAUUAUUAUUAUUAUUAUUAUUAUUAUUAUUAUUAUUAUUAUUAUUAUUAUUAUUAUUAUUAUUAUUAUUAUUAUUAUUAUUUUAACAAAGAAUUGCAACGUCGUGAAAACGUAUUUCUAACCACGUCACAGCCAGUGUACACAUGGUCGUCGACACAUUUCAACUCCGUUAGGAUUUGGAUUUGGGCCAUAUAAAUGCGCACCCGUGUUUAAGAAGGUAUGAUUAAAAUACGCGCCUAAAGAGUCUAGCGCAUUAUUAUUUUGGGGAAAGUCGUGCAAUUCGUUAAAAGACUCAUCCCGAAUUCCAAAUAUUUUUAAUAAAUACACUUAUGAAGGCCCCGCAGUUUGUGCGUUUUAUUUGGCGACUCGUUUCAUUUUUUUUUAAAAAGCAAACCUAAAAGCAACUACGAUUCUCUACUUUAUUUGUCUCUAAAAAAGAGAAAUCCUAAUUUAUUAACUAAGAUUAUUCAGAGUCAUUAAUCGGAUUAUAUGAAAUGCAUCCCCGAAUUUUAGAAACUAAGCAUUACAACUACGUCACGGGAUCUGUACCUGUAAUCAUAAUGAUGUAUUAAUUAAGAAUUUGCCUAAGGCAUGCACCUAAUGAUUAAUUCAACUCGGAUAAACGGAGAAAUCACCUUAAAGUUAAAUUGAUGUACCCAAUUCUAUUUAAAGGAGUUUCGACCCAAACUUAAGGACUGAUUAAUCAUUAUCAAUACGUUAAAUCCAUGUAAUACACCAACAUUCAAAUACGCCACAAAUGGAACAAACUAUAGGAGAGAAAAAUUUUACAUACUACUCAUAUUCCUUAAGUAUCAAAUUAAAUUAAAUGAAAUAAGCUUUUAUACCCCACUCUCAACCCAAUAAGUCCCCACUAAAACAGUAAAUGAAGCAACAAACUCAUACAUUUAGGAAAUCAAAACAUUAACAUAUUAAAAAGAUAAACAUUGUAAUAGAACAACUCAUUCAUAAAUAUUGUAACAAUACAAAACAAGAGGCAAGAGUUAAUCUUACAUUGAAACCUUGUAGUAAAUGGAGUUAAUCACUGUUUACCGGACCAAAAAUGGAAAACUCUAACAGAACACGUAGCAGCGCCGGAACCUCGAUGACGACCUCAAAUCUCAAACGGACG
rnacentral:lncRNA from 1 species